UACGUAGGGGGCGAGCGUUGUCCGGAGUUACUGGGCGUAAAGCGCACGCAGGCGGUCUGCUAAGUUUGGAGUGACAGUUGGUGGCUUAACUGCCAAAGUGCUUCGAAAACUGACAGACUUGAGGGCUUCAGAGGGACACGGAAUUCCGGGUGGAGUGGUGAAAUGCGUAGAUAUUGGGAAGAACACCGGUGGCGAAGGCGGCGACCUGGUCCGAUACUGACGCUGAGGCGCGAAAGCGUGGGGAGCAAACAGG
rnacentral:rRNA from 1 species